CUGGUCCAGGCUCUUCCCGGUGGAGUAGCAUCCGCUUCACAACAUUGGUUCCCGUGCUACAACGGACCGGCCCCGUCUACAUCCGAAUAUUUGGCAAUAAAUGGCUUCUUGUGACAGUCAUUAACCUGUUUUGCACUGAAUAUCUGUUCAAGAUGACAACAAUAAAGUGCAACCUGUGAAAAACUAAGACAAAAAAGUUCAAAUAUUUGUCAUUAAAGAGUUUUACUGUGUUUUACACUGCAUAUCUUUUUCAAAACCACAAUAACAUGAAACCAAAACAAAACGAGUUCAGAUAUGCGAGUCAUCACGUGUUAUCAUUACCGGUAUUAUAGCUGCAAUGAGCUUUUUAAACCGGGGUUGCAGGCUUGAUACGGCCACUCUCAAUGCUCAUUGUUGAGCUUUUAUUUUGAAAGGGAACGGCGGAAAAGCCGAUCUCGGCCGUCUCGCGCAGCGUAACCAUUCACACGAAAGUACAGGCAUGUCACUCUUUAUGUAUGAAUGACUUCGUUUAACGUCCGUGUACUUUGAAACUAGAGGGGCGCGUCCCACCGCUUGAGAACCCCUUAGCUAGGCUAACGUAACGGUUAGCUAGCUAUCGUAAAUCAAAGGGCACCGUUUAGUGACGUAGACAGAGCGCUCGCGCGUCAGUGAGCGAGGACGUGUUGGCGGGUGAGUGUCGUUGAUUCGAGUCUUCUUCCCCAGAUAGCAUCGACUCCGGGGCGGAUCCGUUGGUUCUGUCGCCCUCGGUUCGGCCGCGCGCACCCGAUAAGCCCCGCCCACGGAUCGCGGACCGUCAAACGGCGGAUUCUCAAAUCGAACGCGCCUUUCCCCCGAGUUUACUGCAGGCAGGCAAUUAGGCAGCCUAUACCGUUAGGACCCAUUUUGGGCAAUGAAAGGGGGGGCGGGGCGGGGCGGGGCUUUCCUCUAGAAUACAGCGCCAACAUUUACGAUCAGAGGCAGGAAUGUGACGUCGCACCUACGUCACACCUUAAAGGCACGACUUUCUAUAUAUAGGACUCCCACACGAUCUACUUUAUCCAGCGGACUUCAACAUAUGAUCACUUGCAGCAAGGGAUCCCCUUCCCCCGACAUGGAGAGACCCCAUUCAUGCGAAUUGGGGCCGGAAAGGAAGUUCACACCUGGCUCGGAGAGACUGAGUAGCAGACGGAGAGGCAUCCUGAGGACCCCUGCGAUGCCAUUCAGAGCAGGGGACAGAACGACGCAGAGGAAGAGGGACAGAUGACUUCAAGUGUCAAGAGGCGUGGACACGCUUUCAACACCGACGGACAGACUGCUCAGUCAAUGAGUGGAUUAGGACUAAUGUUUUACCUAGAUAGGUUAACCAAUGAGAAGUGAAUAUCUCCCCUGGGGCCGGGACACCCGGGAGGUAUAAAAACAGAUGUUGACCAGAAAGACAAGGCUUUUUGACCUUUGGAUGACGGAGGAGAUGCACUGCAUGCAGGUUAGCUGCAUGUAGGCCGUUGAUCCUGUGAGAAGCCCUCAGCUGAGGAUUAGAUUUAGUGAACUUGACUCACUGUUAGACAGUUAACUGCUUUGGCGGUCUGUGGAUGCAGUGAUUCAUGCUCCCUCAGCUGAGUUAUACUCUGUAUCUGAACAGUUAUUAGUUAUUAUCAACGAUUGGUAAUACUUUUUAUGAAAUACGUUUUAUUAGAA